CCUACGGGUGGCAGCAGUGGGGGAAUAUUGCACAAUGGGGGAAACCCUGAUGCAGCGACGCCGCGUGAGUGAAGAAGUAUUUCGGUCUGUAAAGCUCUGUCAGCAGGGAAGCAAAUGACGGUACCUGACCAAGAAGCCCCGGCUAACUACGUGCCAGCAGCCGCGGUAAUACGUAGGGGGCAAGCGUUAUCCGGAUUUACUGGGUGUAAAGGGAGCGUAGACGGCAGGGCAAGUCUGGAGUGACAGGCGGGGGCUCAACCCCCGGACUACUCUGGACACUGCCAGGCUGGAGUGCAGGAGAGGUAAGUGGAAUUCCUAGUGUAGCGGUGAAAUGCGUAGAUAUUAGGAGGAACACCAGUGGCGAAGGCGGCUUACUGGACUGUAACGGACGUUGAUGCUCGAAAGUGUGGGUAUCAAACAGGAUUAGAUACCCUAGUAGUC
rnacentral:rRNA from 1 species